rnacentral:rRNA from 1 species
GACAGAGGCCCCAAGCGUUAGGCGGAAUCACUGGGCUUAAAGCGUGUGUAGGCGGAUCGUUAAGUGUCUUGUGAAAUCCCACGGCUCAACCGUGGAACUGCUGGGCAUACUGGCGAUCUUGGGCCAACUAGGGGCAGCCGGAACAAGCGGUGGAGCGGUGAAAUGCGUAGAUAUCGCUUGGAACGCCGAAGGUGAAAACAGGCUGCUGGGGUUGCGCCGACGCUGAGACACGAAAGCCAGGGGAGCAAACGGG